rnacentral:rRNA from 1 species
UACGACUACAUAUCAGGCAUAUCAAUAAGCGGAGGAAAAGAAACUAACUAGGAUUCCCUCAGUAACGGCGAGUGAAGCGGGAAGAGCUCAAAUUUGAAAUCUUCAAGGUUUUACCUUGACGAAUUGUAGUUUAAAGAAGUGUCUUCUGUUGGAGUUUCGGUAAAAGUUCUUCGGAAUAGGACAUCAUAGAGGGUGAGAAUCCCGUAUUUGACCAGUUAUUUCCAGCUUUGUGAUACACUUUCAAAGAGUCGGAUUGUUUGGGAAUGCAGUCCAAAAUGGGUGGUAAAUUUCAUCUAAAGCUAAAUAUUGGCGAGAGACCGAUAGCGAACAAGUACCGUGAGGGAAAGAUGAAAAGAACUUUGAAAAGAGAGUUAAACAGUACGUGAAAUUGUCAAAAGGGAAGCGUUUGACACCAGUGUUGUUUUCUACGAAAAUCAAUUUAUGAUGGCUUGAUGCUAAGCUUUAAGACUUUAUCCGCUUGUUGUUUAGUUUUCUUGUCUUUGUGAAUGCACUUUUCGUGGAACAAGUCAACAUCAAUUUCUUUUGCUGUAGAAGGGUAAGAGGAAGGUGGCUUCGGCUUCGGUUGAAGUGUUUAUAGCCUUUUAUCUCUGCAGUCGGAGAGAUUGAGGUCUGCAGCGUAGACUCUUCGGGGCUAGAUACGUCGGUGCUAAGCUAUAGCUUUUCAUAGACAACUUGUUGACUAUGUUUAGUCAUGUGGCUUACCCGCUGGCGCUAUUUUACCUACGCUUAGGAUGUUGACACACGCGCGUGCUC